rnacentral:rRNA from 1 species
GAAGAGUUUGAUCAUGGCUCAGAUUGAACGCUGGCGGCAGGCCUAACACAUGCAAGUCGAGCGGUAACAGGAAAGUGCUUGCACUUUUGCUGACGAGCGGCGGACGGGUGAGUAAUGUCUGGGGAUCUGCCCGAGGGCGGGGGAUAACCACUGGAAACGGUGG